rnacentral:rRNA from 1 species
AAGUCGUAACAAGGUCUUCGUAGGUGAACCUGCGGANNNAUCAUUACACAAAUAUGAAGGCGGGCUGGAACCUCUCGGGGUUACAGCCUUGCUGAAUUAUUCACCCUUGUCUUUUGCGUACUUCUUGUUUCCUUGGUGGGUUCGCCCACCACUAGGACAAACAUAAACCUUUUGUAAUUGCAAUCAGCGUCAGUAACAAAUUAAUAAUUACAACUUUCAACAACGGAUCUCUUGGUUCUGGCAUCGAUGAAGAACGCAGCGAAAUGCGAUAAGUAGUGUGAAUUGCAGAAUUCAGUGAAUCAUCGAAUCUUUGAACGCACAUUGCGCCCUUUGGUAUUCCAAAGGGCAUGCCUGUUCGAGCGUCAUUUGUACCCUCAAGCUUUGCUUGGUGUUGGGCGUCUUGUCUCUAGCUUUGCUGGAGACUCGCCUUAAAGUAAUUGGCAGCCGGCCUACUGGUUUCGGAGCGCAGCACAAGUCGCACUCUCUAUCAGCAGAGGUCUAGCAUCCAUUAAGCCUUUUUUUCAACUUUUGACCUCGGAUCANGUAGGGAUACCCGCUGAACUUAAGCAUAUCA